UUUCCUACUAAAACCUCCUAAACCCUAGAAAACCAGAAGAGAAUUCCAUGUUGUAACACGUAAACCAAAAAAAAAAAUUAAUCGCAAAAAAUGCUAUCCCCAAUACCCGCCAUCUUCAUCUUAUUGAUAACAUCAAUGGCGGACGCCGCCGAGGCGUCGGAAUCGUCAAUAUACGAUGUGCUGAAGCUGAACGGGCUGCCGAUGGGGCUGCUCCCAAAGGAGUGACGAAUUUCAGCCUGGACGAUUCCGGGAAGUUCGAGGUGCGCUUGGAUCGAGCCUGUAAUGCCAAGUUCGAGAACGAAUUGCACUACGAUAUGAAUGUGACCGGAACUCUCAGCUACGGCCAGAUCGACGGCCUCGUCGGGAUUUCGGCCCAGGAUUUGUUCCUGUGGUUCCCCGUUAUCGAAAUCCGGGUCGAUAUCCCCAGCUCCGGGUUGAUUUACUUCGACGUUGGCGUGGUUUCGAAGCAGUACUCGCUCUCUUCGUUUGAAUCGCCGAGGGAUUGUUUGGCUGCUCCGGCUCCGGAUCUCCGGGAAGGAAAACGGAUUGUGGAAUCUGUUUCCAAGAUAAUGUCCCGGAAGCUUCGGUUCGAGCUCGAUAAAGACAACCUAGGCAGGACAUCGUUGUAAAUUCUUUUUUGUGUUUGCGGAGCAACCAAAUGGUGCACAAUAGCUCAAUCAAGUUUUGGAUUUUCGUUAUGUAUCUCGUAAUGCAGAGAGUAUGGUCUUGUAUGUAGACCGUAUUUUCUUCGUUCUACGUGUGUUGUAGGGU